rnacentral:tRNA from 1 species
GGAUUGUGGCUCAGUGGCAGAGCACUCCCCUAGCAUGCAAGAGGCCCUGAGUUUAAUCCUCAGCACCA